GGGGAUGAACGCUGGCAGCGUGCUUAACACAUGCAAGUCGAACGAUGAACUGGAGCUUGCUCCGGGGAUUAGUGGCGAACGGGUGAGUAACACGUGAGUAACCUGCCCUUGACUCUGGGAUAAGCACUGGAAACGGUGUCUAAUACCGGAUAUGACCUUCAGCCGCAGUGGCGUAGGGGGGUGAAAGUAUUUUUUGGUCAAGGAUGGACUCGCGGCCUAUCAGGUAGUUGGUGAGGUAAUGGCUCACCAAGCCGA
rnacentral:rRNA from 1 species